CAGCCGCCGCGGUAAUACGUAUGUCACAAGCGUUAUCCGGAUUUAUUGGGCGUAAAGCGCGUCUAGGUGGUUAUAUAAGUCUGAUGUGAAAAUGCAGGGCUCAACUCUGUAUUGCGUUGGAAACUGUGUAACUAGAGUACCGGAGAGGUAAGCGGAACUACAAGUGUAGAGGUGAAAUUCGCAGAUAUUUGUAGGAAUGCCGAUGGGGAAGCCAGCUUACUGGACAGAUACUGACGCUAAAGCGCGAAAGCGUGGGUAGCAAACAGGAUUAGAUACCCCGGUAGUCCCUGUCUCUUAUACA
rnacentral:rRNA from 1 species